AUUGAACGCUGGCGGCAGGCUUAACACAUGCAAGUCGAGCGAGCGGCGGACGGGUGAUUAAUGACUGGGAAACUGCCUGAUGGAGGGGGAUAACGACUGGAAACGGUAGCUAAUACCGCAUACCAUCAGAUGUGCCCAGAUGGGAUUGGCUAGUAGGUGGGGUAAUGGCUCACCUAGGACACGUACCCUAGCUGGUCUUAGAGGAUGACCAGCCACACUGGAAGUGAGACACGGUCCAUGCUCCUACGGUAGGCAGCAGUGGGGAAUAUUGCACAAUGGGCGCGAGCCUGAUGCAGCCAGGCCGCGUGUGUGAAGAAGGCCUUCGGGUUGUAAAGCACUUUCAGCGAGGAGACGUUACUCGCAGAAGAAGCACCGGCUAACUCCGUGCCAGCAGCCGCGGUAAUAC
rnacentral:rRNA from 1 species